CUCUCUCUCUCUCUCUAUCUGUAUUUCUUUCUCUCCCGUCUUUCAUCCAUAUCCUUUUCUCUUCCAUUUAACCAUUUCUUAUCACCGUCUUUUCUACGUGAUCAUCAUCAUGAUUAUCGUCAUUCAUGAUUAAUUCUCGACUGUUUAGGCAACCAGCACUGCUCCGAUCCACUGCUCAGUGACCACUUCUGUGUACCCCGCGAUGUUUCUUCAGAGACCACGCAGCGGCGUGGCACCUGCAUCUGUGGUGGAACACGAAAGUGUCAUGCCUACCACACUUUUUCUUUGAUUUUUUUUUUUGGCUUUUCUUUUUUUUUUUUCUGUAUUGCCACUCAAAAUUCAUUCAUCAUCAUCAUCAUCAUAAAAAGUUAAACGACGCGAUUACGUGCAAACCCCUGUCAUUAUAUUGGGAUACGUACGAUACAUAUUUGCAUGUCUAAUAACGUCCGGUGUAAUUUGAUUACAGGAUCAAUGGAUCAAGUCCCUGCCCCGGUAUGAAAUAUUGUCAAAAUAUGGGGGUGGCGGUGGGGUGGUAACGAAGAUGAGUGAUUUUUGCUGAUGGGGGAAAAGGACAUCGCGACGAUGAUGAUGAUUGUUACCAAUAUUAUUAAAUAUAAUAUGCAGGUGGAGGUAUUAGAUAUUAGGAAAAUGAAAUGAAAUGAGAAUAAAAAUAAUGGGGGGGGG